CUACCUACACUAUACAGCCAUAAAAAUAUAUUUCCCAUAUUAUGUAUGGGCUUCCCACUGUUCCACCCUUCUUCAUUCGUCUGCCCAUACACAGUAACCCCAUAUACGUGAAACGUGGUGACGAUGUAAAAUAUACCAGCAUUGUUGUUUUUAUUUAUUUUUUUUUUUGCAGCUUAUUUUCUUGCCUUAGAUUACCAUACCAUUUAUGGUAGCAAAAUCAUUAAUAUUAUAAUCACAAAUAUAUUACGAAUACAA